GGUUAGCAAGCUACUUACCACACAGCCACUCCUGCGCCUAUAUGUAUGCAUGUGUGUAUAUAUCUUCGCUGUAUGUACUUAUGAUGCACGUAAUUAUGUUUGUAUGCGGGAUAUGUGCGUAUAUGAUGCACGCGUGAUGAAUGCAUGAUGCGUUUAUAUGUAUACGUUCUCAUCAAUAUAGGAGAUGCGUGUAUAAAUAGAUAUAUCAUGAAUAGGGGUUUCAUAUAUAUGCAUGUUGUGGAAUGUAUAAAAGUAAUCAGUUAGUUUAAUGCACUUCUAUACAUAGACACGCACAUUUUCAAGAAUACAAGUGUGUUUGUGUGGGUUAUGUAUAUAUAUAUAUAUAUAUAUAUAUAUAUAUAUAUAUUAUAUACACACACAUAUAUAUAUACAUAAGCAUAUAAAUAUAUGCAUAUAUAUAUACAUACAUAUAUACGCAUUUAUAUAUAACUGUAUAUGUGUGUAUAAACAUAUAUAUAUAUAUACGCACACAAACUCAUAUAUACAUAUAUAUAUAUAUAUAUAUAUAUAUAUAUAUACAUAUAUACUAUAUAUAUAUAUUAUGUAUAUAUAUAUAUAUAUAUAUAUAUAUAUAUAUACAUAUAUACGCAUUUAUAUAUAACUGUAUAUGUGUGUAUAAACAUAUAUAUAUAUAUAUAUAUAUAUAUAUACAUACGCACACAAACUCAUAUAUAUGCAUAUAUAUAUAUAUACAUACAUAUAUAUAUUGACAUACACAUAUAUUUACAUCUUUCUAUAUAUAUAUGGAUGGAUGUACACAAAUUUAUACACCUGUACAUUAUAUGUAUUGGGGGAGAGUAUCUAGAGGUGUAUACUUACUAUAGUAUAUAUAAAUACUUGCAAGCAUCCCUAUGUAAACACACAUAUGUAUACAUACAUGUUGAUAGGCCCACACAUAUAUAAAACCUUCACAGAAGAAUAAAUUCAGAGGCAAUCCUGUGUAUAUUGACCCAUCUACCCAUUCCACCCCGUUCUCUACGUACAUCAGUUGCUUCUUCAUCUCUCUUUCUCACUACCUGUCUGUCUGUCUGUCUAUUUAUCUAUCUCUCUGUCUAUCUACUCACAUUUCACUCUCUCUCUUCAUGUAACUGGUAAUUGUCUCUCACCUCUCUCUUUUCCCUCUCUGCCCCCUGUGUAUCUGUGUGCGCGCGCGCGUAUAUAUAUAUUAUAUAUAUAUAUAUAUAUAUAUAUAUAUAUAUAUAUAUAUAUAUAUAUAUAUAUGUGUAAAAAAAUACAAACUGGGGCAAGAUAUAUAUAUAUAUAUAUAUGUGUAUAUAUACAUAUAUAUAUAUAUGUGUGUGUGUGUGUGUGUGUAUAUAAUAUAUAUAUAUAUAUAUAUAUAUAUACAUAUAUAUAUAUAAUAUGCACACUCACAAAUAGCGCAAAACAAUAGUGAUUUUUUUCUGCACAUAUAUACUUGUUAAAAAAAAAAUAGAAGCUCAUACAUAGAUACAUGCACACUCUGAUAUGUGUAUGGUGUGAAUAUGUUUUGUACUGCACGUAUGUCGAAUAUUAUGUAUAUCAAAUAUUCUUUUCUACUCCAGGCAGAAGGCCCGAUAUUUUUGGGGAGGGGUCCAGCUGAUUAGACUGACCCCAGCACGCAAUUCGUACUUAAUUUAUCGACCCCGAAAGGAUGAAAGGCAAAGACGACCUCGGCGGUAUUUGAACUCAGAUGGUAAAGACAGACGAAAUAUCGCUAAGCAUUUCGCCCGGCAUGCUAACGUUUCUGCCAGCUCGCCGCCUGAAGUAUAUCAAAUAUUACGUAUUAUAAAUACGCUAUUAGGUAUUAAAUAUACGGCUGUUAUGCUCGAUCUACUGAAGUGGCUUCAAUGUAAGUGGCUUCCACACAGUUUCCGUCUACCCAUGUUUACUCACAAAGCUGGACUCAACAUGAGGCUGUGGUGAGGAUUUGCGUAAAAUGCCAUACUGUUGUAUUGAACCCUGUAUCUCAUGAUUGCAAAGCAAACUUCUUAAAUAUCAAGCCACACACACAAAC
rnacentral:lncRNA from 1 species